ACUCCUACGGGAGGCAGCAGUGGGGAAUAUUGGACAAUGGGCGAAAGCCUGAUCCAGCAAUACCGCGUGUGUGAAGAAGGCCUUAGGGUUGUAAAGCACUUUCAAUUGGGAGGAAAACCUGCCGGUCAAUACCCGGUAGCUUGACAUUACCUUUAGAAGAAGCACCGGCUAACUCCGUGCCAGCAGCCGCGGUAAUACGGAGGGUGCAAGCGU
rnacentral:rRNA from 2 species